GGUGUCUUUGGCGAAACGGUUAACGCACUAGGUUGUGAGCUUAGCCACUAUGGGUUCGAAUCCCAUAAGACACCU
rnacentral:tRNA from 1 species